GAGAGAAAGAGAGAGUCCAACGCACCGUUUGGACUUAGGGUUCGGUUUUCCCCUACCGGCUACCCCGCAGACGUCUCUCUCUCUCUCUCCUCUCUCCUCUCUCAGCUACUCACUCUCCAUAAUUGCUCUCUCACUCCCCCCACAGAUCCCCUCUCUCUCAUCUCUUCAUCUCUCUCUCGUCUCUACGCCUCCUCGGCUUCCCACCUGUGCGCCACCCAAACCGGCGACACUGUGAUGCUUCAUUGCACCAGGUCAUCGCCAUGCUCUUCCGCCGCCACUUCGUCACGCCGUUCGUCUAGCCCCUUUGCCUCGUCCGUCGGCCGGCGCCGCCCAUACCGUUUCCAAUACUCAUUAUCUUCCCUACCGUUGCCUCCGUUCAUGCCUUGUACUCCGUCUGGCCAACACGUCGCUGCCAGUCCCUUCGGACCCCAGUGUCGGUAAGUACGACAACGUUCCAUCCCCCACCGUUCCAUCACCAAGUCCAGUUGAACAUCGCUUCAAGUUUAGUGAGUUUACAAGUAGAUCUUGAGAGAAGAGCUGAAAAGUACAAGAGCUGCUAAAUUUGGCAGCAUGAAUGUACAAGGUUUUGUUGAUCAUUCACAAAUGAAGCCAUCUGUUGUUCUAACUGGAACAGCAAAGGAAGGUAGUAAUGCGCCUCCCGUUGGUCUUGUUGACAUUGGCACAAGUGAAGGGGCCUACCUUUUUCGAGUUGCACUUCCUGGAGUUCGAAAGGAUCAAUGCAAAUUAAAAUGCGAAAUCCAACGUGAUGGUCGGGUUCAUAUAGAAGGAGUAAUAACACGUGCAGGAGUUUUGAAAGACACGUCAACUGUAUACCAGAUGAAAGUCCAGGAAUUAUGCCCAUCUGGACCAUUCACCAUUUCUUUUAAUCUGCCUGGACCGGUGGACCCCCGAUUGUCUUCUCCAACUUUCCGGCCUGAUGGCAUCCUGGAAGUAGUAGUUUUUAAACAAAGAACACCUGCAACAGAUGGCAGGUGCCCUCCUCCGUGAGCUUUAUACAAAGAGCUGCAUUCUUUUUGCUCUGGGAGGACUGCAUAACAUUUAGAAGUCUUCACUGAAGAUUGAAUCACUCUCGUCACUUGACUACACUCUCAAAUCCUCCAUCUCAGAAGUCUCAAGUCUCUCAAAUCACUCCUGUUGCUCGACACCGUCUCACCCUGUCUCUCGAAUCCUCGAUCAUUCUGUUGCUGCUGGUGAGAGUUUCCCUAUCACUCUCUCUCUUUCUCUCUCUCUCUCUACUCUGUCUUGGUCUUUGGAUUUUGUUUGUAAACGAUGGGUUUUUAGGGAUUUUGUGUUUUAGGGUUUGGUUGUAUUUUUGGGUGUUUUAGGAUUUUUGUAGUUCUGAUUGCCGAUUGUUCAUUUUUUAAGAUUGGGAAUUGGAAUAUGUUAAAAAGAAGGAAAUUGAAAAGGUGGGAAGGACUCUACUCUGAAAUUACUUUUUACAUUGCAAGUCUGGAUCGAAGCUUCAGUGGUAAUAGACAAUUAGUGGUAAUAGCAUGCAUCGAUGUUGCAUAGAAUUGAGUUUGAUUGCUUCUAAGUAUAUAAAACAUGUAGUUGUUCUUCAAUUAAGUGGUC